rnacentral:rRNA from 1 species
UUAGGUCGGGAACUCAAAGGAGACUGCCAGUGAUAAACUGGAGGAAGGUGGGGAUGACGUCAAGUCAUCAUGGCCCUUACGACCAGGGCUACACACGUGCUACAAUGGCGCAUACAAAGAGAAGCGACCUCGCGAGAGCAAGCGGACCUCAUAAAGUGCGUCGUAGUCCGGAUUGGAGUCUGCAACUCGACUCCAUGAAGUCGGAAUCGCUAGUAAUCGUGGAUCAGAAUGCCACGGUGAAUACGUUCCCGGGCCUUGUACACACCGCCCGUCACACCAUGGGAGUGGGUUGCAAAAGAAGUAGGUAGCUUAACCUUCGGGAGGGCGCUUACCACUUUGUGAUUC